rnacentral:rRNA from 1 species
GACGAACGCUGGCGGCGUGCCUAAUACAUGCAAGUCGAGCGAAGCGGGGACGGGUGAGUAACACGUAAGGAACCUCCGAUAAGCGGGGGACAACAUCCGGAAACGGGUGCUAAACCGCCUACUGAUCGAUGGCCGGCGUGCAUUAGCUGGUUGGUGGGGUAACGGCCUACCAGGCAAUGAUGCAUAGCCGACCGAGAGGUUAAUCGGCCACAUUGGGACUGAGACACGGCCCAAACUCCUACGGGAGGCAGCAGUAGGGAAUAUUCCGCAAUGGGCGCAAGCCUGACGGAGCCACGCCGCGUGAGUGAAGAAGGUUUUCGGGUCGUAAAGCUCUGUUGUAAGAGAAGCGGUAUCUGACCAGAAAGCAACGGCUAACUACGUGCCAGCAGCCGCGGUAAUAC